CUAUUCAUGUCAUCCCAACCUAGGAGCCAGACAUGUGAGUGACUCCUCUCCAGAUGACUCUAGCCUCCAGCCCUUACAGUCAUCCCAGCUAUCAGCUAAGACUCCAGGCAUUGUGAAACUGAGACAAAUAUUUCUUGCUGUGCCUUCUCUCAAUUCCAGACCCACAAAAUCUGUGAGCAAGGUCUUCUCUCUGAGGACUUGACUCAUUUGGAGAAUUAAAGUGCUGCAGUGAAGCCUAGAAGUGGAUACUAGAGUCCGAAGUUUUUGUCUCCUAACGCUCAGUACAGCACAAGUGAAAACAUUUUCACUGCCGAGGCAUGGGUUAAAAAAAGUUCUUUUAAACAGUUGCUUUCCUUACAAAUAUAUAUUCCACUGGAGAAGUCAAAAGAAGCAGCAUAAACCACAAACCAAGGAGAAACCUCAAAACAAAAGAAACCAGGGACACACAGGGCAAGUCACACUUACUUAAGAGAUCCUGACAGCUUGGGCUGCUGAAGAAGUUUAUCUGCAUGAUUCAAAGCCAUAAGGUUAUCACCCAACGCCAGAGCCACGUAGGCACUGCAAGCAAGUAUGGAGCACCUAUAACACAAAAGGGAAGGGGCCGAAAAUCUCAUUUUAAAAAUUGAUAAUGGUUAUAUUUGCUAAAUAGGAAGAAAUGCCCUUUAGCUGUGACGAUCUGGACACCAGGAAAGAGGAGAGGACGCCACGGUACUAAUGGUCACGGAGAUGGAAAAAAAAAAAAAUCUGAUUACAGAAGCAAAAGAAGCAAAGUAUGGGCUGGAGUAUAUCAGAAAAUUGAGACUGCCAAGAGACAAGACCUUCAAAAGAAAAAGAACCCAAUGAAGAGAGGAAAGUUAACCUGGUGUGACAUAAAACUAUCUUUCCUUUCAAAAAAGAAGAUAAAAGGAAAAAUAAGGUCUAGAAGAGAAAAUUUCAAAAGCCUUUAAAGAGUGGAAUUCAUUUAAAAACUGAAAUUAACACAGCUGGUGUGCAAAGGUCAUAUAUCUCCAAGGGCUUCUCACUGCACCUAAGACAGUAAGCCCUGCCCUAGGCUUUACCUGUUCUGCCUGUGGCUACUUCUGACUUUAUUUCCUAUUAUCCUCCUUACCUAGCUCCAGUCACAAUGAUCUUGCUGCUAUUGCUCUCAUCAAACACAGCCUCUCACCUCAAGUCUUCUCCAUAUCCCAUUACCUCCAGUGGGAAUGCUUUCCCUCUAAACAGUAGCAAGGAUAAUGUCUUUUCUUUAUUCAGGUCUCAUUUCAAAUACCAUCUCAUCCCAGGCCUUGCUUGAUUACCUUACUUAAAACAUCCCCAGUCAAUCCCUACAUUCUCACUCAAUUUUAGCUUUACUUCAUAGCAUUCAGUAUACAGCCAGCUCCCUGUAUCUGACCUGCACCCACAGAUUCAACCAACCUCAGAUUGAAAAUGUUAAAAGAAAAAAAAAAGAAUUGUUGCAUCUGCACUGAAUAUGUACAGAUGUUUUCCCCAUCACUGUUCCCUAAACAAUAUGGUAUAAAAACAUUUUCAUAGC